AAUUAAAGAUAUAAAACAAAAUUAAAUGGACAAUACUAAUUAAGUCUAAGCAAUGAUUAAUUAUACUUUGAUUAGAUAAUGGUAACGUCGACGACCCUGAUGUUGUUCGCGGGGAGAUUCGGACUUGCGCCAUCAGCCAAUAGGAAGGCGACAGCUGGACUUAGGUUGGAGGCACGUGACUCAGGUCUACAAACGGGUGACCCGGCCGGGUUCACGCUUGCGGACACUUUGGCUUGUGGCACCGUUGGUCAUAUCAUCGGUGUAGGAGUUGUCCUUGGCCUUAAAAACAUUGGUGCUAUUUGAAGUUCCUAAAGCUCUUUUAUUUGUAUUUGUAAAAUUUGUAGAUUUUUAUAACAAUAUUCUCAUGCACCUGAACGAGAUCUAAUGGAUUUUACAAGUCUUUAUGUUUA
rnacentral:sRNA from 1 species